rnacentral:rRNA from 1 species
AUUGAACGCUGGCGGCAUGCCUUACACAUGCAAGUCGAACGGCAGCACGGGGCAACCUGGUGGCGAGUGGCGAACGGGUGAGUAAUGCAUCGGAACGUGCCAUUGAGUGGGGGAUAACGUAGCGAAAGUUGCGCUAAUACCGCAUAUUCUGUGAGCAGGAAAGCAGGGGACCGCAAGGCCUUGCGCUCUUUGAGCGGCCGAUGUCAGAUUAGCUAGUUGGUGAGGUAACGGCUUACCAAGGCGACGAUCCAUAGCUGGUCUGAGAGGACGAUCAGCCUCACUGGGACUGAGACACGGCCCAGACUCCUACGGGAGGCAGCAGUGGGGAAUAUUGGACAAUGGGGGAAACCCUGAUCCAGCAAUGCCGCGUGAGUGAUGAAGGUCUUCGGAUUGUAAAGCUCUUUUGGCAGGGACGAUGAUGACGGUACCUGCAGAAUAAGCUCCGGCUAACUUCGUGCCAGC